rnacentral:rRNA from 1 species
UACGUAGGGGGCUAGCGUUGUCCGGAAUCAUUGGGCGUAAAGAGCGUGUAGGCGGCCCGGUAAGUCCGCUGUGAAAGUCGGGGGCUCAACCCUCGAAUGCCGGUGGAUACUGUCGGGCUAGAGUGCGGAAGAGGCGAGUGGAAUUCCUGGUGUAGCGGUGAAAUGCGCAGAUAUCAGGAGGAACACCAAUGGCGAAGGCAGCUCGCUGGGACGGUACUGACGCUGAGACGCGAAAGCUAGGGGAGCAAACAGG